UUGACGUUAGAGGAAAAUUACAAAAUUACAAUUGUUUUGUUUCUUGGUAAAAAUUGGAUAACACUUGAAAAGAGGAAUUUAUUUUAAUAUUCUGAUUGUAUGUGAAUAGAUGAAAUAUGGAAAUGAUUUAGUAAAUAACCCAAGACCAGAUUUACAUUAACCCAACAUUGACAAUUGGCACAGGACAUUUGCCGAUUAUCAUGUGAGAAAAUAUAGAUAUUUUUAAAACAAUCUUAAA